rnacentral:rRNA from 1 species
UGGGGAAUCUUGCGCAAUGCGCGAAAGCGUGACGCAGCAACGCCGCGUGGGGGAAGAAGGCCUUCGGGUUGUAAACCCCUUUCAGGAGGGACGAAGCCGGGCUGGUGAAUAGCCAGUCCCGGUGACGGUACCUCCACAAGAAGCCCCGGCUAACUACGUGCCAGCAGCCGCGGUAAUACGUAGGGGGCAAGCGUUGUCCGGAAUCAUUGGGCGUAAAGAGCGCGUAGGCGGCCCGACAAGUCCGCUGUGAAAGUCAGGGGCUCAACCCUUGAAUGCCGGUGGAUACUGUCGGGCUAGAGUCCGGAAGAGGCGAGUGGAAUUCCUGGUGUAGCGGUGAAAUGCGCAGAUAUCAGGAGGAACACCGAUGGCGAAGGCAGCUCGCUGGGACGGUACUGACGCUGAGGCGCGAAAGCGUGGGGAGCAAACAGG